rnacentral:lncRNA from 1 species
UCAGACUGACGUGGCAAAGACGUGCCAAGUUGGCACGACUUGCCCCAUAUUUGUAAUUUUUUUGACAAUGACCCAUUUUGAUAAAAACAAAAAAAAAGACCCCAUAAUGGUCGUAAAACCCACAAAAUAAUUAGUUUGGCAAAUACGCUCAAGUAAUUUUUCUUUUUAUGAAAUAACUAUGCUCCAACUUACCUACACAGUUUUACAUGUAUGUAUACUGGUAAACAAACU